CAGUUAUCAUCAUUUUCUUCAUCGACAACACCAAAAGCAAGUGGAAACACUCCACCAUCAGCAUCAAAAGAAGUCGCUGAUAGUAAAGUACCUAAGUAUUUGCUCUUAAGCUGAAUACCACCAAGACAAAUAACAGGCAAGCAACCACUCAGGAACCCAUGAAGAGAAGCAUAAAAGGAAAUGAAGAACCUCUGAAACCGACUAUCUGAACCAGCUGUAAAAACCUCAGCAUGACUUCCAGGAUUUGUUUUCUUGAUUUGCUCACAAUAUGCAGGUAAUAGACAGUACCCUUCUUCGGAAGAUCCAUAUAUAGCUUGCAGUCCUCUUUCCUUGGCCCUCCAAGCUUGUUUAUAUGGUAUAGUUAUUCCAUACUGCUUAUAGAUAUCAUGCAAAAUAUCUUUUGGCUUGUAAUUUAUAUUAUCACGCAAACGAUUCUCUAUGAAGUUCACUAUCCAAUCAACAGAAGCCUGAUGGUGUCCAUUUUGUGCAUUUUUCCCGCAGGUAUGUGUUCCGUCAAGGCUUCUUAUAGUAAAGGUAGGAGCAUUGGGAAGCUUAAUAGCACGAAUACGCCAUGGACAACCUUCUGAAGCACAUUUUGCAAUGUAGCGGAUCAGGUCACUUUUUACUAUGCGAAGCUCAAAAUGUUGUGCAAUAGCAGCCUCUUUAAUUGCAGUGCGGAAGGUCUUGACAUCAGGAAACUCUUGGC
rnacentral:lncRNA from 1 species